rnacentral:rRNA from 1 species
UACGUAGGGGGCGAGCGUUGUCCGGAUUUAUUGGGCGUAAAGAGCGUGUAGGCGGCUUGUUAAGUCUGAUGUGAAAUGUCGCGGCUUAACCGCGAAACUGCAUUGGAAACUGGCAAGCUAGAGUCUGGAUGAGGAAGAUGGAAUUCCUGGUGUAGCGGUGAAAUGCGCAGAUAUCAGGAGGAACACCGGUGGCGAAGGCGGUCUUCUAGGACAGUACUGACGCUGAGACGCGAAAGCGUGGGGAGCAAACAGG